UACAGAGGGGGCAAGCGUUGUUCGGAAUUACUGGGCGUAAAGGGCGCGUAGGCGGCCUUCUAAGUCGAACGUGAAAUCCCCGGGCUCAACCCGGGAACUGCGUCCGAUACUGGAAGGCUUGAAUCCGGGAGAGGGAUGCGGAAUUCCAGGUGUAGCGGUGAAAUGCGUAGAUAUCUGGAGGAACACCGGUGGCGAAGGCGGCAUCCUGGACCGGCACUGACGCUGAGGCGCGAAAGCCAGGGGAGCAAACGGG
rnacentral:rRNA from 1 species